rnacentral:rRNA from 1 species
ACGAAGGUCCCGAGCGUUGUUCGGAAUCACUGGGCGUAAAGGGAGCGUAGGCGGCGUGGUAAGUCAGAUGUGAAAUCCCGGGGCUCAACCCCGGAACUGCAUCCGAUACUGCCGUGCUAGAGUGAUGGAGAGGUAGCUGGAAUUCUUGGUGUAGCAGUGAAAUGCGUAGAUAUCAAGAGGAACACUCGUGGCGAAAGCGAGCUACUGGACAUUUACUGACGCUGAGGCUCGAAGGCCAGGGUAGCGAAAGGG